rnacentral:lncRNA from 1 species
UACAAAUGAGAAUAUUAUAGUGUCAACCCAUUUGUAAGCACCUACAUUUUGUUAACAUUUGACAGUGAUAUGUUUAUUUGGGAUUAUUAAUUACUCUUAACAAUUAUAUGUGAUCUGAUCAACAGUCAUCUGAGUCUGUCUUUAGUCUUUCCCUUAUAUUUUUUUCUUUUGAUUCUAGGUAUCUGUAAUUCUUGCCCACCAAACAAGCCUGCAGAAUCUGUUCAGUCAAAUAACUCCAGCUCAUUUCUGAAUUUUGGUUUUGCAAACCGUUUUUCAAAACCCAAAGGACCAAGGAAUCCACCACCAACUUGGAAUAUUUAAUAAAACUCCAGAUUUAUAAUAAUAUGGGCUGCAAGUACACCUGCAAAUAAAACUACUAGAAUACUGCUAGUUAAAAUAAGUGCUCUAUAUGCAUAAUAUCAAAUAUGAAGAUAUGCUAAUGUGUUAAUAGCUUUUAAAAGAAAAGCAAAAUGCCAAUAAGUGCCAGUUUUGCAUUUUCAUAUCAUUUGCAUUGAGUUGAAAACUGCAAAUAAAAGUUUGUCACUUGAGCUUAUGUACAGAA